rfam:Ictidomys tridecemlineatus contig044410, whole genome shotgun sequence.
GGGGUUGUGGCUCAGUGGUAGAGCACUUGCCUUGCAUGUGUGAAGGUCUGGGUUUGAUUCCCAGCAACACAU